rnacentral:rRNA from 1 species
UCGGGAAUUUUGCUCAAUGGGCGCAAGCCUGAAGCAGCAACGCCGCGUGCGGGAUGAAGGCCUUCGGGUUGUAAACCGCUUUUGUCAGGGACGAUGAUGACGGUACCUGACGAAUAAGUCACGGCUAACUACGUGCCAGCAGCCGCGGUAAUACGUAGGUGACCAGCGUUGUCCGGAUUUACUGGGCGUAAAGAGCGCGCAGGCGGUCGUUCAAGUCGAGUGUGAAAGCCCCCGGCUCAACUGGGGAGGGUCACUCGAUACUGAUCGACUUGAAGGCAGGAGAGGGAAGCGGAAUUCCCGGUGUAGUGGUGAAAUGCGUAGAUAUCGGGAGGAACACCAGUGGCGAAGGCGGCUUCCUGGCCUGUUCUUGACGCUGAGGCGCGAAAGCUAGGGGAGCAAACGGG